rnacentral:antisense_RNA from 1 species
AUUUGAAUUGGUGAACUUAGUAAAGCAGACGGCUCUCACCAAUAAGGGCAGGCAUCAUCCAAUCUGUCGAAAGCUUGAAUAAAACAAAAAGAGGAAGGGAAAAUUUGCUUCUUUUCUUCUUGAUCUAGUAUAUCAUCUUCUCCUGCCCUUGGAUAUGAGUGGGCCUUCAGACUUAAACCAGGAGUUACACCUUUGGCUUCCCUGGUUCUCAGUUCUUUGGACUUGGACUGAAUUACACUGCCAGGUUUCCUGGUUCUCCAGAUCUCCUGAUCUCCAGAUGGCAGAUCAUGGGACUUCUUGGCCUCCAUAAUUGUUAUCCCCACUGUGUAGAGCUUGUCCACAAUGGAGAGGAGGAAAAGUUUUGCAUUGGACCAAAUCACUGCCUUAGCAGGAAAGAGAUUGCAAUCCCAUUCAUUUUUAAGAUCUGCAAUGGGUUGGGAUGAUACCCAUUUAAAAAAGAAAAAAAAGAGUUUACCUCUUUGGCCUCUUUGGCAAAGGAUAUGAACUAGUAAUAAAGCCUCAGCAUCAAGGCUUGGGAGUCUGGCUCAAAGUGGCUAAGACUAGAAGCAUCUUCUAACAUAAAUAUGGCAGCAUUAGGAAAAUAGCUUGAUCUUUAGAGAGACCCAGAUUAUCUUCACCUUAAAAGCUACCAAGACCCUGGUCCAGCAAGACUACCAUCACAGCAGUAAAUACAUAGCCACCAACUUCACCGAAGGUUUUCCACUGAGACAUUGUGAAAACCACAAUCCAUUACCGGUGGAUGAGUCCCAGCUCUCUUACUACCUGGGGUUUCCAAGCAAGACUUACCUGUCCUUUGUUCCGGAUUGGUUCCUGGGAUCCUGGACCAACACAAAGAGAAGAGGAAAGCCUCAAGGGAAAUAAAAGUGAAGGUUUCAGUGAUAGUUUAAAUAUAUAUUUUUAAAUGUUAGCUUUUUUUUAAAUACUUCACGGUGAUGGAUGGAGUAUUUCAACCACAAUGGCAAAGAAUGAAUUACCGGCAGUGUCAGAGUUUCUUGUUGCUGUGGGAAGACAGCUGCCAUGUUGAGAGGUGCCUGGUGGAGAGGCUCAUGUGGUGAGGAACUGAGACUGGCUUCUAUCCAACAACCAGUGAGGAACUAAGGCCCUAAAGUCCUAUAGUCCACAAGGAACUAAAUCCUACCAACAACCACAUGAGUGAGCCUGGAAUCUGAUUUUCCCCAGUGGGGACUUAAGGUACCUACAACCUGGCUGUUAUGGGCUAAACUGCAUCCUGCCCAAAUUUAUAUGUUUGAGUCUUAACUCCCAGCACUUCAGAACAUGGUUUUGUUUGGAGACAUAGUCAUUAAAGAGGUAAUGAAGUUAAAAUGAGGUCAUUAGGAUGAGUCCUAAUCCAAUAGGACUGGUGUGAUUAUAUGAAGAGGAAAUUUGAACACAGACACAUAUAGAGGAAAGACCAUGCGAAGAAGACACAGAGAGGAAACGGCCAUCUACAAUCCAAGGAGAGAGGCCUCAGAACAAGCCAACCCUGCAGAUACCUUGAUCUAGGCAUCCAGAAUUGUAUGAAAAUACAUUUUUGUUAUUUAAGCUACCCAGUCUGUGGUGCUUUGUUAUGGCAAUCCCAGAAAACUAAUUAACUAAGUGACUGCAGCCUUGCAAGGGACCCUGAACCAGAGGACCCAGUUAAGCCAUGUGCAGAUUCCUGACUCACAGAACUAGGAGAUAACAAAUGUUUGUUGCUCUAAGGUGCUAAAUGUUGGGAAAAUAUGGUAUGUAGCUAUGUUGUUUUGCACAUGUGCCACAUAAUGAUGUUUUGGUCAACAACAGACCACAUAUAUGAUGGUGGGCCCAUAAGAUUGUAAUACUGUGUUUCUAUUAUGCAUUCUCUAUUUAUAGAUACACAAAUACUUGCCACCGUGUUACAAUUGCCUACUGUCUUCAGUACUGUAACAUGCUGUACAGGUUUGUAGCCCAGAAGCAAUAGACUAUACCAUACAGUC